rnacentral:rRNA from 1 species
UUAGGUCAAGUUAUUAAGGGCCAACGGUGGAUGCCUUGGCGUCAAGGGCCGAUGAAGGGCGUAGCACGUCUGCGAUAAGCCUCGGCUAGCUGUCAAGCAAGCUUAACCGGGGAUUCCCGAAUCGGGGAACCGGUCCUAGAGAAACUAGGACAUCCUCAGCUGAACACAUAGGCUGAGGGGGGUAACCAGGGGAACUGAAACAUCUAAGUACCCUGAGGAAAAUAAAGCAACCGCGAUUCCCUAAGUAGUGGUGAGCGAAAGGGGAUCAGCCUAAACUGGCAGGGUUUAGUGGCAUGAGGGCCUAUACCUUGCCGGGGUUGUACGGCACACCAGCAUGAACCUCAAAGAUUGCGCAGAGUUACAAAUCUGUUUUCUAGCUGAAGGAACCUGGAAAGGACCGCCAUAGGGGGUGAUAGCCCCGUAAGCGAAAGAAUUCAGACUCUGGGUGUGUUCGUGAGUACCACGGGACACGAGAAAUCCCGUGGGAAGCUGGGGGGACCACCCUCCAAGGCUAAAUACCCUUGACGACCGAUAGUGAACAAGUACCGUGAGGGAAAGGUGAAAAGAACCCCUGAAGGGGAGUGAAAUAGACCUGAAACCGUGGGCCUACAAGCGGUCGGAGCCUCGAUUUAUCGGGGUGACGGCGUGCCUAUUGAAGAAUGAGCCGGCGAGUUACUCCUGUGUGGCAAGGUUAAGGAAUUUAUACGUUCCGGAGCCGUAGCGAAAGCGAGUCUGAAUAGGGCGUCCAGUCGC